CUUCAGAGUGGCCAGCGCGCGCGCGCAGGGCCCGCCCGCCUCCACCGGCCUCACUCCCGGGCCUAGCACUGCGUCCACCACCAGCCGGACCCUGCUACUCACGAACACCCGCAGGUGCCGGGCACACGCUAGCCCCACAGCGCCGUUCUGCUCCGGGCCGCACACGACCAGUACCGUCCUCUGCUUGCGCGACCCCGAGGACAAAGGGAACGCCUGGGCGUAGCAGAGGGACAGAGUGGUGGUCUGCGUGCAAGCCCAGUGUGGUUUGUUUACUCCAUGCACUUUGGACACAAUCCCUUCUUUCCUGACGCAGUUACCCCCAAGUUACACUGAAAAGUGGGGUUAACCCGGAGGAAGGUCCGCAAUCGUACAAGCGCCUAAACCAUCUGUCUGCCCCGCUCCUGCCUUUACUAUUUCCUGUUUGCCUUCUAUUUCAGAAACUCAGUCUGUCUACAUGGUUUUUUGUUUUGUUUUGUUUUGUUUUGUUAUUGUUUGAGAGGUUCUCGCUCGGGCUGAUCUUGGACUUGCAGCAAUCCUCCUGCCUUAGGAGCUGCUGGACUGGCAGUUGUAGGCCACCGCGAGGACAAUCUGUGCUACCGAAGAGAGUCAGUGAAGUGGCUCAGCAGCGUCCCCUCCCAAGCGAUGGGUUGAAGUAGCCCCGAGCAAAGGGGGCUAGUACCUUGGCCACAGCCACCGCACUGCCUUGCCCGCACAGCUCCACCAGCUGCUGCCGCC